rnacentral:misc_RNA from 1 species
GCUUAUUCGAGAAGAGAGCGAGACGAGCCGCCGAAAGCCCGUUGCUCCGCCUCCUCCAAGACCUAAUCGAGGAGGACGAGGGCGGUUCGGGCCGGUCAUGAAUGCAGCGAUUACCGAGUUGGAGAGUGAAGCGAACCGCCGACCGCCGCUCGCAUCGGGAAUCCAACCUCACCUGGUUUUUCGAGUGCCUGUGGCUCAAGGGGCUUCCGCAGCAGCAUUGGUUGACCUCUUGCAGGCGGUUGGCUUAACGGUGGUCAGCAUCGAAAAGGACGGAGCGGUCAUAGCAUUUCACGACGACACAGACCUGAGUGAAUUCCGGAAAGCGGUGGCCAAGUACCAGCGUGGA